AUUGAACGCUGGCGGCAUGCCUUACACAUGCAAGUCGAACGGCAGCGGGGGAGAAGCUUGCUUUUCCUGCCGGCGAGUGGCGAACGGGUGAGUAAUACAUCGGAACGUGCCCUGUAGUGGGGGAUAACUAGUCGAAAGAUUAGCUAAUACCGCAUACGACCUGAGGGUGAAAGUGGGGGACCGCAAGGCCUCAUGCUAUAGGAGCGGCCGAUGUCUGAUUAGCUAGUUGGUGGGGUAAAGGCCUACCAAGGCGACGAUCAGUAGCUGGUCUGAGAGGACGAUCAGCCACACUGGGACUGAGACACGGCCCAGACUCCUACGGGAGGCAGCAGUGGGGAAUUUUGGACAAUGGGCGAAAGCCUGAUCCAGCAAUGCCGCGUGUGUGAAGAAGGCCCUCGGGUUGUAAAGCACUUUUGUCCGGAAAGAAAUGGCUCUGGUUAAUACCUGGGGUCGAUGACGGUACCGGAAGAAUAAGGACCGGCUAACUACGUGCCAGCAGCCGCGGUAA
rnacentral:rRNA from 1 species